UGAGACAAGAAAGUUUUGGUU
rnacentral:piRNA from 1 species